GGAGGGGUGCCGGAGUGGUUAAUCGGAGCAGACUGUAAAUCUGCCGCCCGUUCGGGCUGCGUGGGUUCGAAUCCUACCCCCUCCA
rfam:Chloroflexi bacterium RBG_13_51_36 RBG_13_scaffold_3649, whole genome shotgun sequence.